UAAAUUAAAUUAAACAACUUUAUCACAUAAUAAUUUUUCAUUCACAUCUAUAGAAGUAAGAGUUUUUUACGGUAAGGUAAGAGAUUGAGUUGCGCGGCUUGAUGGUUCCGUACCCGUUCAGCUCCCCUACAUGGGUAAAUGCUUGACAGAAAUGACGUAAAAUAUUGUCACUACCACGGCAACAGCGCACGGAGCCUUUUCCGUAAUUAGACGUUCGUAAAAUAAGACAUAAAUUUCAUAUUCUAAAUUUGAUGUCAAUGGCACGUUCUGACGUUUGUAAUUUUUCAAAAGCGUGUUUUUGUAAGCACAUUGAAGUGAAACAACGAGGGUCGAAAAUUCUAUGUGCUGAACCCGACCAGAAGGUAAAGAUGCCGUAAGCGUGGGUUUCAACUUCCAACCUUCCAACAGCUGUUUUCAUUGCAUAAGUUGCAUGUUUCGCAUGACAUCUGCGCUAUUUAAAAAGAUGUUUUGCGUGUGUUGCAACAUUGGAGAAAGCAGAAAAAGACUUCAGACUGAAUUGGUAACAAAGCCACAAUUUACAAAUUCACAAGAGACAGCGUAGAAGUGGCAAGCUUUGAAUAUUGGCCAUAUGUAUUCUACGCCAAUAUCAACUAUGAACAAGAACAAGCCAAAACGGAACCCUGGUGACGCAUCUACGCGUUAAAACUGGUUUGGAAACAGUCACGAACCGGUUGUAAACUUGCCAUGAGAACAAACCUAUGAUGCUUCCAAUCGAAUAAAAAAUACUUCCGCUUAA